CAGUAGCCACGGUAAUACGUAGGUGGCAAGCGUUGUCCGGAAUUAUUGGGCGUAAAGGGUGCGUAGGCGGUUUCGCAAGUCUUGUGUGAAAUCUAUGGGCUCAACCCAUAGUCUGCACAGGAAACUGCGAGGCUUGAGGAUGGGAGAGGUGAGUGGAAUUUCCGGUGUAGCGGUGAAAUGCGUAGAUAUCGGAAGGAACACCUGUGGCGAAAGCGGCUCACUGGACCAUUUCUGACGCUGAUGCACGAAAGCUAGGGGAGCAAACAGGAUUAGAGACCCCGGUAGUCCCUGUCUCUUAUAC
rnacentral:rRNA from 1 species